rnacentral:rRNA from 1 species
AGUGGCGAACGGGUGAGUAAAGUAUCGGAACGUGCCCGGUCGUGGGGGAUAACGUAGCGAAAGUUACGCUAAUACCGCAUACGAUCUAUGGAUGAAAGCGGGGGAUCGCAAGACCUCGCGCGAUUGGAGCGGCCGAUAUCAAAUUAGGUAGUUGGUGGGGUAAAGGCUCACCAAGCCGACGAUCUGUAGCUGGUCUGAGAGGACGACCACCCACACUGGGACUGAGACACGGCCCACACUCCUACGGGAGGCAGCAGUGGGGAAUUUUGGACAAUGGGCGCAAGCCUGAUCCAGCCAUGCCGCGUGCAGGAUGAAGGCUUUCGGGUUGUAAACUGCUUUUGUACGGAACGAAAAGGUUUGGCCUAAUAAGCUGAGCUCAUGACGGUACCGUAAGAAUAAGCACCGGCUAACUACGUGCCAGCAGCCGCGGUAAUACGUAGGGUGCGAGCGUUAAUCGGAAUUACUGGGCGUAAAGCGUGCGCAGGCUGAUAUGUAAGACAGAUGUGAACAUCCCCGGGCUCAACCUGGGAACUGCAUUAGUGACUGCAUAGCUGGAGUACGGCAGAAGGGGGGAUGGAAUUCCCGCGUGUAGCAGUGAAAUGCGUAGAUAUGCGGAGGAACCACCGAAUGGCGAAGGCCAUCCCCUGGGCCCUGUACUGACGCUCAUGCACGAAAGCGUGGA